rnacentral:rRNA from 1 species
UUUAAUUGAAUGCUAAAAGAAUGGAAUAUCAAAGAAUAACUUUCUUAAAAUUAAAAAUUGAAAUUUUUUUAAUUUGUGUAAAAACAAUUAUAUAAAUUAAAGACAAGAAGACCCUAAGAAUUUUUAAAAUUUAAAUUAACACAUUUUUGUUUUAAUUAAAUUUUAACUGGGGCGGUUAAAAAAUAUUAAAAACUUUUUAAUUUUGAAAAUGACCCAUUAUUAAUGAAAAUAUGAUAAAAUACUCUAGGGAUAACAGCGUUAUAUUUUUUGAUAGAUCAUAUUGACAAAAAAGUUUGCGACCUCGAUGUUGGAUUAGGAUACUUUUUUAAUGAAGAUAUUAAAAUAAGAAGUUUGUUCAACUUUUAAAUUCCUACUUGAU